rnacentral:rRNA from 1 species
AUUGAACGCUGGCGGCAUGCCUUACACAUGCGAGUCGAACGGUAACAGGUUAAGCUGGCGAGUGGCGAGCGGGUGAGUAAUGUAUCGGAACGUGCCCAGACGUGGGGGAUAACUGCUCGAAAGAGCAGCUAAUACCGCAUACGACCUGAGGGUGAAAGCGGGGGAUCGGAAGGCCUCGCACGGUUGGAGCGGCCGGUAUGGGAUUAGGUAGUUGGUGAGGUAAAGGCUCACCAAGUCGACGAUCUGUAUCUGGUCUGAGAGGGGGACCAGCCACACUGGGACUUAGACACGGCCCAUACGCCUACGGGAGGCAGCAGAGGGGAAUGUGGGACAAUGGGCGCAAGCCUGAUCCAGCCAUGCCGCGUGCGAGAAGAAGGCCUUCGGGUUGUAAAGCGGUUUUGUCAGGGAAGAAAAGGUUCUGGCUAAUACCUGGGGCUCAUGACGGUACCUGAAGAAGAAGCACCGGCUAACUACGUG